GACGUAGGGGGCCAGCGUUGCUCGGAAUUACUGGGCGUAAAGGGUUCGUAGGCGGUGUGGCAAGUCGGAAGUGAAAUCUCCAGGCUUAACUUGGAGGCUGCUCCCGAAACUGCCAUGCUAGAGUGCGGGAGAGGCGAGUGGAAUUGCAGGUGUAGCGGUGAAAUGCGUAGAUAUCGGAAGGAACAUCAGUGGCGAAAGCGACUUCCUGGACCAGUACCGACGUCAGGCACGAAAGCGUGGGGAGCAAACAGGA
rnacentral:rRNA from 1 species